GAGGAAAAGACCCUCUGGUUGGCCCUGGU
rnacentral:piRNA from 1 species